GCGCGCAUGAAUGCAAGUGUCAGGUCAUUAUUUUUACUGAAUGAAUCACACACUGUUGUCAACAUCAUAACGAAUAAAAAAGUAUGCGGCUGCAUCAAUUCACGAGUUAUAUCGAAUUGAAAAUUGUGUUAAAUACUUUACUGCAUCAUGGAAUUUGACAUUGGACCAGAUUUAAUGGCAUCUGGUGAUCCUAGUAAUGCACUCGGUCAAAUACGUUCGUGUUAUUCAAAAUGGAAAGAGUUGAAAAUGGAACGCGAUGCUUUAAAAACAUCUUUAGAAGAAGCCAUCCAUAGAAUUACAGAGCUAGAAACCACCCUAGCACGAUACGAAGAAAACAACUUAACGAAUGAAAAAGAAAGAAAUGUUUUACUCCGGGCGAUUAGCACUCUACAUGAAAAACUAGCGAAAGAAGUUGACAUUGACAAGGACGGACCGUCGUCUGCUUGGUUAAACAAAGCUGUCGAAAAAUUGAAAUCAGAUUUGGAUGAAAAAAGUUUUUCGGUUGAUGCAAAUAAUUCAAUCAUUGAACGCUGUGAUAAAGAGACUAACGUUGAUAUUGAUCAAGGCGUUUCGAUCGGAAAUCCUGAAAGUAAUAUACAACCCGAAAUCGAAGUUAUUAGUGGCAAUGAUGAAUUUUUGUCGACAGACAAGUCUGAGGAGGAUGUACCAAAAUCGCCAUUAUUAGAAAAUCCGCCCAGAAAAACUGCAUCAGUGAGUCACCAUACAUUGGAAAAAUGCGACGAGCUCGUAAUACUUGUGACAGAUUUCAUGAUUCAUGGUGAUGAUAAACAUAAGAUAUCUCCAAGUGCUACAAUGCGUAGAACUUCUAAAUGUAAAAAGAAAAGAAAAUUUGUAAAGAAUAAAAAGGAUUUGGGCGAUACGAAGAGUACCACUUCUAAUUCCACGGAUUUUGGUUCUGCAAGACGUAGAAGAUCAUCGUCUAUGUCAUCGUUGAAGCCACAAAAGAGCACGCUGGAUAAAACCAUCAUCGGUGAAUUUGGAAGUUUAUGGCCUUGUAAUUUCUGCGAUGAAAUUUUCUCGAACUCUUCUGAUUGGACAAUUCAUCGAAAUGAAGGACACUCCGCACUUGUGAGAACUUCAAUAACAUGUAAAUAUUGCGAAUACGUUGCAUAUUCGUCGAAAAUGAUGGACAUCCAUAUGUCGAAGCGUCAUAAAAGACGUAAAAUAAGAAUUCGUCGGAAACUAAAUCCUGCAAAUGAAAAAAAUAUGAUUGAGAAAGCCGCAACUGAGAUGACCGAUAAAACAUGCGAAAUCUCUUCAUCCCAUACAACUUAAUUUCAUCGUCAGAUUAGGAAUGUUUCAUGAUUCCAAAGACCAAGUAGGCAUUAGGUGGUUGCCCUUUUGAGUGCACUAUACAUUAUAUAGAAAACGUGUAAGGAGCAAAACGGAAAACCUCAUCGAAAUACAUAUGAAGUGUUAGUCUACCAAGUACUGAAAACACAUCCAAAUUCGUGACCUGACUACGUAUUUUUCUUGGUUUGACCUAUACGAGCUCCGCUUAAGUAAAAAUGGAGCCAUUCAUCGGCAUUAAAUUGCCAUGUUUUCAAAUAUUUAAACUGUAGACGUCUUUUUCACAAGAAUCACUCGGUUUGUUUACUAGUAGGUAUCUAUUGUAAGUAUGAAUGUAAAUAUCAUAAAUACAAGUACAUUAUUA